rnacentral:rRNA from 1 species
GGAUCGCGCAAGUCAGGCCAACCUAGAGCCCGUGAAAAGGCGAGCACACUGUCCGUACCGAGAUCCGACACAGGUACUCAUGGCGGCGAAAGCCAAGGUCUGUCGGGAGCAACCGACGUUAGGGAAUUCGGCAAGUUAGUCCCGUACGUUCGCAAUAAGGGAUGCCUGCCUCGCGAAGAGGCAGGUCGCAGUGACUCGGGCGCUCCGACUGUCUAGUAACAACAUAGGUGACCGCAAAUCCGUAAGGACUCGUACGGUCACUGAAUCCUGCCCAGUGCAGGUAUCUGAACACCCCGUACAAGGGGACGAAGGACCUGUUAACGGCGGGGGUAACUAUGACCCUCUUAAGGUAGCGUAGUACCUUGCCGCUUCAGUAGCGGCUUGCAUGAAUGGAUCAACGAGAGCGCCACUGUCCCAACGUUGGGCCCGGUGAACUGUACGUUCCAGUGCGGAGUCUGGAGACCCCCAAGGGGAAGCGAAGACCCUAUAGAGCUUUACUGCAGGCUGUCACUGAGACGUGGUCGCCAUUGUGCAGCAUAGGUAGGAGCCAGUACACAGGUACCCGCGCUAGCGGGUCACCGAGGCAACAUUGAAAUACUACCCGAUGGUGACUGCGACUCUCACUCCUGGCGGAGGACACUGGUAGCCGGGCAGUUUGACUGGGGCGGUACGCGCCUGAAAAGAUAUCGGGCGCGCCCCAAGAUUUCCUCACUCGGGUCGGAGACCCGAGGAAGAGCGCAAGAGCAAAAGGAAGUCUGACAGUGUCCGGCACAACGACGGACGCUGACGCGAAAGCGUGGUCUAGCGAACCAAUUAGGCUGCUUGAUGCGGCCAAUUGCUGACAGAAAAGCUACCUUAGGGAUAACAGAGUCGUCACCCGCAAGAGCACAUAUCGACCGGGUGGCUUGCUACCUCGAUGUCGGUUCCCUCCAUCCUGCCCGUGCAGAAGCGGGCAAGGGUGAGGUUGUUCGCCUAUUAAAGGAGGUCGUGAGCUGGGUUUAGACCGUCGUGAGACAGGUCGGCUGCUAUCUAUUGGGGGGGUUACGGUAUCUGACGGGAACGUUCGUAUAGUACGAGAGGAACUACGAAUGGGUGCCACUCGUGUACCAGCUGUCCGAAAGGGCACGCGCUGGGCAGCGACGCACCACGGGGUAAGAGCUGAACGCAUCUAAGCUCGAAACCCACCUGGAAAAGAGAUACCACCGAGGCCACUCGUAGAAGACGAGAUCGAUAGACUCGGGGGGUACGCACCAAGGCAACGAGGUGUUGAGCCCGCGAGCACUAAC